CCUCCAUGUAUGUCUUGGCAGAGAUGGUGCUUGCAGUCCUUGUUCCCGUAGUGUUUGGAGUACAACGAAAGGACUCUGAUCCCCUCAGCAUGUGUCUUUGGUACCAGCGGCUUCUGGUCUACUGGUUCUGUUCUCCGGUACCAGAACAUGG
rnacentral:snoRNA from 1 species